GGAGGUAGUGACAAUAAAUCACAAUACGGAACUAUUAGUUUUGCAAUUGGAUUGAGAACAAUGUACAAAUGUUAUCGAUAAACAAUUGGAGGGCAAGUCUGGUGCCAGCAGCCGCGGUAAUUCCAGCUCCAAUAGCGUAUAUUAACGUUGUUGCAGUUAAAAAGCUCGUAGUUGAAUUGAAGUGAACUUGGGUUGAUGUGAUCUUCGGAUGACAUGAAUCAAAGUUGACUCUUUCCAAAGUCAAUACAUUGGUAUUCAUUUAUCUUUGUAUUGUGUUUGGUCAUUUACUGUGAGAAAAUUAGAGUGUUCAAAGCAGACGUUUGUUUGAAUACAUUAGCAUGGAAUAAUCAUAUAUGGCUUUCAUGUUGAUUUGAUUGGUUUGAAUAUGGAAGCAAGAUUAAAAGGGACAGUUGGGGGUAUUCAUAUUCAAUAGUCAGAGGUGAAAUUCUGGGAUUUAUGGAAGAUGAACAAGUGCGAAAGCA
rnacentral:rRNA from 1 species